rnacentral:rRNA from 1 species
GGGCCCGCACAAGCAGUGGAGCAUGUGGUUUAAUUCGAUGCAACGCGAAAAACCUUACCUAUACUUGACAUACUUGGAAUGCUUUGUAAUGAAGCAGUGCCUUCGGGAGCUAAGAUACAGGUGCUGCAUGGCUGUCGUCAGCUCGUGUCGUGAGAUGUUCCGUUAAGUCGGAUAACGAGCGCAACCCUUACCCUUAUUUGCCAGCGAUUCGGUCGGGAACUAUAAGGGGACUGCCGGUGAUAAACCGGAGGAAGGUGAGGACGACGUCAAGUCAUCAUGGCCCUUACGUAUAGGGCUACACACGUGCUACAAUGGGGAAUACAGACGGACGCUAAGCCGCGAGGUGGUGCUAAUCCUAGAAAUUCUUCGUAGUCCGGAUUGGAGUCUGCAACUCGACUCCAUG